rnacentral:lncRNA from 1 species
AAAGAAAAACCAAAAGAAUCAGACGCUGAAGACACUCAGGAAAAGAGACCCGCCGUUGUAACCCCAAAUGACUCCCAUUUUCUCUUCUUUUUCAAUGAAGAGCUAAACUAAAAAUACCUAAGGGAACGAACAAAAAUAGGAACUUGAAUCUCCAAAAAAUCAACAGUCGUGACUCCUCUAUUCUAAGAUCGGCGACCACUCUCGUCUCUGUCGCUGCUUGCCCAGAUUUGAAAGAUCUUCAGCCGGAGAUGCAACUCCGAUGCCGGAGGUCUUCACUGCCAUGUUUUUGUUCGGUGUUGUUCCUAUGUUAAUGUUGUGGAAAUUGCGUCAAUAGGCUUAAGAUAUUAAAUCUUCUCCGGCGAACAACGCCGCAACUGCCGGUCGAGGCUCUAGGUCUAUUUUCUGUUGAAAACUCUGCCCUUCUUUCUCCGUCGUUUGUUUCCCUUCUUUGUUACUGUUGCGUCGGAAGGUGACAGAUCCGGCGAGAUUCCAGCAAGUUUCGAGGUCUGGUCGUAGCUCCGUUCGUGGUUUUUGAUGAAGCUUUGGUUCUACGGUUCGAGGACAUCAUUUGGUCAGUGUUUCAAGAAUUAUUACAACUGUAAAGGUCUAUUUUUAUUGUUAAAUUUAAAUCUUUAUUUUGCACUAUAUUUGCUUUGAUAUUAUGCCUUAUCUGAAGUAAACUAUAGUAAAUAUAUUCGAGUAUUAUUAGUAGUAUAAUAUAGUACUGUAGUGAUUUGUUUCCUUCAUUUAACUGUGUCUGCUAUGAGUUAUUUGUGUGUGGUUUGAUGAAGCAACGGAUUGUUGUGGUCUCUACUUAUUUUACUUAUUUCAUGACCAUUGUUUAGUAUUAGAUUAUUUGAAUUCUCACGGAUUAAGGACACAGGUUGAUUGCUUAAAAGUUGAUUCUUGAAGAAAUAUUUACCUACUUGCUUUAAUGAAGAUCAUGUUGUGUUUCUUGUCAAGUUACAGUGCUCGCGUAGCAAUUUAAUUUAGGAAAGGGUUUUGUUAGCAUUCAUGAGUUGUUCCCCUCUUGUUUUGUUAUAGUGUUUCUUGUUUAUUAUCGUGAUUAUGUACAGGUUCGCGAGACACGAUUACGGUUUCUAAAAUGAAUAUCUGUGGAAAGCCUUUAAGCACAUUUAAAAUACAAUUGUGGUUGUGUACACGUUCGCGUGACAUAAUCAUGGUUCUAAAAACCAAUUCGGGGUAUGCGUUCGCCCAACUUCGAACAAACUUUCUUAAUAAUGAAAUGGGUGUUAAUAGGCCGUUAAUUUAAUCUUAGUUCAUAUAGUCUGAGGUGUGACAUCCACAAUUUAAUCAUCUAUGUCCCUCGUAUUAAUUUCAUAACCUAGUUAUAAAAAUUAUAAGUAAUCGUAGUUUGCUUUAGGCGCGUUAAUUAGAUAAAUUGUCAUAGCUACGGAUACGGUUCCCGUGACGUGGUUGUGACACUUAAAUUCAAAAAUACGGGGGUGCAUUUCAUGUGAUCCGGUUCUAAUUUCCAACAAGGUUAAGUAGAACGUGUCGUAAACCACAGGUGCAUUUCAUGUAGCGUGGCUAACGAUGUGUUUUAAAUGACCUUGAAAUUUCUUGAAAUAUUAAAAGCGGCUAAAAGGUUAAAAAGGGCACGUAGGUUUUUAAAUGUGUAAUUAAUCAGGUAAUUAGGCCAAUAAUAACAGUUGAGAGACCGUGCUAAAACCACGGAACCCAGGAAUGUCUAACACCUUCUCCUGGGUUAACAGAAUUCCUUACCCGGAUUUCUAUGUUCGCAGACUGUAAACAGAGUCAAUAUUCCUCGAUUCGGGAUUUUAAACUAGUGACUUGGGACACCAUAAAUUAUCCCAAAUGGUGACUCUGAAUUUUAAAUGAAUCUCAUUUCGAUUGUCACUUUAAGUUGGAAAAAACUCCCUUAUACCCUUUCGGGGUGGUAAAAAAGAGGUGUGACAGUAGUCACUUGAUUGAUUGAAGAGUUAAACCAAGUAUGAAGAUUGUGGUAAUAUCGUUAAUUUGAGGAUUUAUGCCUGGAGGGCACUUAGCUUAUUGGGUUGUGGACUGUGGAGGAUUACUCCGGUUAUGAUGGUUGUUCUUGUGUGUUAUGAGAAAAGGGGGGUCAUUAUGGACCUUUGAAAGGUUAGUAGCCUAGUUCAGUGUGAUCGGAAUCAGCUUGGGGUCUGUGGAUGGAUUUAAAUGUGAAUAUGGGCUUUAUAUCAGGCCAGAUGUGUUCAUCUCAGCAAUGCGCUCCUUAUGGAAGAGUAGUCGGAGUAGUAUUUUGUCAUCAACUAUUUCAUGUAAUGAUAUAUUGCAUGGUGUGAGUUGUGAGACGGCUUGGUAAAUUUCUUAUGUGUUGAGGUUCUGCAUAGAGAUGAUGUUAUAUGAGCAGAAUAGCUCUUGAGAUUCAGAUUUAAUAUUGCACCUCAGUUGUCCUUGAGUUGUGGCUUAUAACGCUAUAUGUCUCCCAAGGGAUGGUGUUAUGCACUUAGCGUACCUGUGACCGACAUUCGGUAUAUGGUUGUAAUAAGCAAUCUAGCUCGGUGUGUAUCUCCUUAUGUGAAUUUUAUGUGUGGAUCGAGUGGCAUGCCGCCAUGGGUAUGUUGUUUAGAUCGGGUUGCGUGCCGCAACAGUGUAAUGUUGAGUACAGUUCCCUAUAUCUGUUUUUAUGUGUUUUAUUUCCUAUUUUUCUGAGGAAAGCCCCUAUUAGCUGUGUAAGUUGAGUAGCCCCUUCCAGAGUUCGUCUUCCUUUUGUAUCGCGUUUGAAUUGGUAGCUUCUUAGCACAUUAUGUCACUAUGAGACUUUUGAUCAUGUCCGGGUGGCUUAUUGCCUGAGCAGUUCGUACUGGGUGAGACGAGAUCAUUGGAUUUAGGAUCAGAUGCAAUCUGAUUAUAUGAAGUAUAUUAAGGAGCUAAGACCAUUAUUUGGUUUAGAAUGAGGUGAUGGUUCUUGUCAGGAGUAUAGACCCAAUGAUUUGUUGAUUCGGCGGCUGGUUGUGAAUUUUUACAUAUCUCUUCCAUCAUGGUGGUAUUGUAAGAUCUAGAGCAAGACCUAUGCAUGUUAGGAGGUGCAAUGGGAUGCAUCAGAUUUGUGGAAUUUCGACUAAUUUGAUCGGUGAAUAUUAUUGUGGUCUUGUGAGUAAUGUGGUGUAAGGUGUGAAUUUAGCUAAGGUAUGCAGUCAUGUUUUAGUCCUACGUGUAGUUAUUGAUACGGUGAGCGUAUGUUGGAACAGGCCUGGCACAAAAUUCCGGAUGAUGGAAUUGGGCUCUAAAGCUUAUUUUCUUAAGUGAAAAAGGACAUCUUUAGAUUGAUCAAGCUAAGGUGCCCAGCUGAGUAGUGGUGGCACGGGUAGGUGCGCGAGGUGUUAAGUAGUGUUUUCGGACAACUCUAGUGCAGUUCUCAGCACGUUCGAGGACGAACGUAUGUAAGUGGAAGAGAAUGUAACGACCCGACCGGUCGUUUUGAGUUCUAGCACGUCGUUCAGAAGUUUGAGGCCAUGAUCAUCUUCACUUCAGGUAUUACAACUUGUACGCGUUGUCGGAAUUGAAUUUUGGGAAGUUCAGAGUUGAUUUGAAAAGAGAAUUCUCAUUUCGGAAGUUUUAAGUUGAAAGAAUUGACUAAGGUUGGAUUUUUGAGUAAACGACCUCAGAAUCGGGAUUCGAAGGUUCCAGCAGUUUCGUAUGACGAUUUUGGACUUGGGCAUAUAUCCGGAUUGGGUUUUGGAAGACCCGAGAAUGUUUCGGCGCCUAUUAAGGAAGUUAGCAUUUUGGAAGAAUCUCAUAAGUUUGGGUUGAAGUGAAUUUCGGUGUUAUCAAUGUCCAUAUGGGAUUCCGAGUCUGGGAAUAGAUCCGUAUGGUGAUUCUAGUAUUGGGUGCGCGAUUGAAAGUGAAUUCGGAGGUUCAUAGGUCAUUUUGGAGUCAUUUGGCUAAAGAUAGAAAUUUGAAGGUUUUUGAGAAGUUUGAUCGGAAGUGGACUUUUUGAUAUUGGGGUCGGAUUUUGAUUCUGGAAGUUGGAGUAGCUCUGUAAUGUCAAAUAUGACCUAUGUGCAAAAUUUGAGGUCAAUCGGACGUGAUUUGAUAGGUCUAAACACUAAAAGUAGAAGUUUGAAAUUUUAGAGUUCAUUAAGCUUGAAUUGGAGUGCGAUUCAUGGUUUUAGCGUUGUUUGAUGUGAUUUGAGGCUUCAAGAAAGUCUGUGUUAUGUUUUUAGACUUGUGCGGGUGUUUGGUUUGGAGCCUCGGGGGGCUCGGGUGUGAUUCGGGAUAGCUUCGGAGUGAUUUGCUAAGAAAUAGGAUUACUGGUGCUGGUAUGAUCGCAAUUGCGAUGCAUUGGUGGCAAAUGCGACCUCUCAUUUGCGAGCCUGGGCUUCUGAGGGCAAAGUUCGCAUUUGCGAAAAAAGGAUCGCUUUUGCGAGGCCGUCAACUUCGCAUUUGCGAAGAAUCUUGUCGCAAAUGCGACCAGGGCAGGGUUGGCUAGGCUUCGCAUUUACGAUGCAAUUGUCGCAAAUGCAACAUCGCAUUUGCGAGCCGGAUGUCGCAAAUGCGACUUCUGCGACUGGAACUCAGGGCUUUUUAUUCCGAGACUUAGCCCAUUUCCUUCAUUUCCCACUUGGCCUUAGGCAAUUUUGAGAGCUCUUGAGGAGGGAUUCCAUCAUCAUCAAAGAGGUAAGUAACUUCUACACAUCAUAAGUUAAAUACAUGGAUUAUGGGUAGAUUAACAUGUGAAAAUUAGGGAAAUCAAGGGUUUUAGAUGAAAAACCUAGAAUUUGGUAAAAACAAGAUUUAACCACGAAAUUUGUUAGGGAAUGGAGUAAAAAUCAUAUAUUCUUGAUCCUUAGGUUAUGGGUAACAAUUUUCUUCAAAAAUUUCCGGAAUCCGGGCACGUGGACCCAGGGAUGAAUUUUAGGAACCUUGCAUUUAGGGUUGGGAAAUUGGUUUAAUAAUUAGAAUAUGAACUUUUGAGCAUGUAUUGACUAGAUCUUACCCUAUUUGAAUAGUUUUGGAUCGUUCGGCUCCGAAUUGGAGGUUUGAGCGCAUUCUUGAAUCGAAAUAUAGGUUUUGGAGCGAGGUGAGUCUCCUUUCUAACCUUGUAAGAGGGAAUUGUCCCCAUAGGUGAGUUAAUUGGUUAUGUGCUCCUAUUUGUGGGGGCUACAUAUGCACGAGGAGGCGAGAGUCCGUGUGUAGCUACUAUUAUGUUAUUGUCCAGGUAGUCUAGAACCCAAAAGCAUGUUGUACUUGGAAAUAUUUGUAAUCAUAUUGACGGUUUGAAUUGCUUAAAUCACAUCGGAUUAGUAAGUAUAUUUCUAAAAGAUUGAGCUUCAUUUUCUUGAAUUGUUAAAAGAGAAUUGGAUUUUCCUUGGAUAGUUGUUCCCUGAUGAAGUUUUGAUUAACUGUUUGAAUAUGUAAUUCUAUGUGUACCUGCGUCACAUGAAUGAUUCGCGAGCAGGGUGUUUGUUUAUAUUAUGUUGACCCCAUCGUAUGGAUGAUUCGCGAGCAGGGUAAUAGAUGCAUCUAUGGUUCGGGCCAUUCAACCCUCGGCAGUGCAUAUUUUACAUUUCUAUUGGUUCGGGUUGUACGACCUCGGCAUGAUAUGCGUAUGCUUGUAUUGCUUGUCUAAGAAUUUUAAAUGUUGAUAUUUGCCUUUCCUGGCCACAGAUAAAUUGAUAAAGGUAAUGCAAAGUAAAUCUUUGGAAAACCC